rnacentral:rRNA from 1 species
CAAGUCUUGACAUAUUACAGAAGCAGUUAGAGAUAAUUGCUUACAUCUUCGGAUGACUGUAAUACAGGUGGUGCAUGGUUGUCGUCAGCUCGUGUCGUGAGAUGUUGGGUUAAGUCCCAUAACGAGCGCAACCCCUAUUGCUAGUUACCAUCAUUAAGUUGGGGACUCUAGUAAUACUGCCGGUGACAAACCGGAGGAAGGUGGGGAUGACGUCAAAUCAUCAUGCCCUUUAUGACUUGGGCUACACACGUGCUACAAUGGCAGGUACACAGGGUUGCAAGACUGUGAAGUUAAGCGAAACUCAAAAAGCCUGUCCCAGUUCGGAUUGCACUCUGCAACUCGAGUGCAUGAAGUUGGAGUUGCUAGUAAUCGUGGAUCAGAAUGCCGCGGUGAAUGCGUUCCCGGGUCUUGUACACACCGCCCGUCACACCAUGGAAGUUGGCAAUACCCGAAGCCUGUGAGCGAACCCUUUGGGGCGCAGCAGUCGAAGGUAGGGUCAGUAACUGGGGUG